rnacentral:rRNA from 1 species
GACGAACGCUGUCGGCGUGCUUAACACAUGCAAGUCGAACGGAAAGGCCCUGCUUUUGUGGGGUGCUCGAGUGGCGAACGGGUGAGUAACACGUGAGUAACCUGCCCUUGACUUUGGGAUAACUUCAGGAAACUGGGGCUAAUACCGGAUAGGAGCUCCUGCUGCAUGGUGGGGGUUGGAAAGUUUCGGCGGUUGGGGAUGGACUCGCGGCUUAUCAGCUUGCUGGUGGGGUAGUGGCUUACCAAGGCUUUGACGGGUAGCCGGCCUGAGAGGGUGACCGGCCACAUUGGGACUGAGAUACGGCCCAGACUCCUACGGGAGGCAGCAGUGGGGAAUAUUGCACAAUGGGCGGAAGCCUGAUGCAGCAACGCCGCGCGCGGGAUGACGGCCUUCGGGUUGUAAACCGCUUUCGCCUGUGACGAAGCGUGAGUGACGGUAAUGGGUAAAGAAGCACCGGCUAACUACGUGCCAGCAGCCGCGGUGAUACGUAGGGUGCGAGCGUUGUCCGGAUUUAUUGGGCGUAAAGGGCUCGUAGGUGGUUGAUCGCGUCGGAAGUGUAAUCUUGGGGCUUAACCCUGAGCGUGCUUUCGAUACGGGUUGACUUGAGGAAGGUAGGGGAGAAUGGAAUUCCUGGUGGAGCGGUGGAAUGCGCAGAUAUCAGGAGGAACACCAGUGGCGAAGGCGGUUCUCUGGGCCUUUCCUGACGCUGAGGAGCGAAAGCGUGGGGAGCGAACAGGCUUAGAUACCCUGGUAGUCCACGCUGUAAACGGUGGGUACUAGGUGUGGGGUCCAUUCCACGGGUUCCGUGCCGUAGCUAACGCUUUAAGUACCCCGCCUGGGGAGUACGGCCGCAAGGCUAAAACUCAAAGGAAUUGACGGGGCCCCGCACAAGCGGCGGAGCAUGCGGAUUAAUUCGAUGCAACGCGUAGAACCUUACCUGGGUUUGACAUGGAUCGGGAGUGCUCAGAGAUGGGUGUGCCUCUUUUGGGGUCGGUUCACAGGUGGUGCAUGCCUGUCGUCAGCUCGUGUCGUGAGAUGUUGGGUUAAGUCCCGCAACGAGCGCAACCCUUGUUCACUGUUGCCAGCACGUUAUGGUGGGGACUCAGUGGAGACCGCCGGGGUCAACUCGGAGGAAGGUGGGGAUGACGUCAAGUCAUCAUGCCCCUUAUGUCCAGGGCUUCACGCAUGCUACAAUGGCUGGUACAGAGAGUGGCGAGCCUGUGAGGGUGAGCGAAUCUCGGAAAGCCGGUCUCAGUUCGGAUUGGGGUCUGCAACUCGACCUCAUGAAGUCGGAGUCGCUAGUAAUCGCAGAUCAGCAACGCUGCGGUGAAUACGUUCCCGGGGCU